UACGAAGAGGACUAGCGUUGUUCGGAAUCACUGGGCGUAAAGCGCACGUAGGCGGAUGUGUCAGUCAGGGGUGAAAUCCCGGGGCUCAACCUCGGAACUGCCUUUGAUACAGCACGUCUCGAGUCCGGAAGAGGUGGGUGGAAUUCCUAGUGUAGAGGUGAAAUUCGUAGAUAUUAGGAAGAACACCGUGGCGAAGGCGGCCCACUGGUCCGGUACUGACGCUGAGGUGCGAAAGCGUGGG
rnacentral:rRNA from 1 species